rnacentral:tRNA from 1 species
AAGGCUUUAGCUUAAUUAAAGUGUCUGAGUUGCAUUCAGAGGAUGCGGGAUAGAGUCUCGCAAGUCUUA